UGCGCCUACACUUGGCACUUUGCCAACCCGCCAUAAUGGAUGUUUUCUCUAAGCUAUAACCUUCGAAACUGCGGUACAUAAACGUGACUAAUACGCAAGUCAAAUACUAUAUGCAAUCGCUAUUUUCUUUUGAUGUAGCAAAAAUAAAGCAAAAAGGUAACAAAAACUAAGCAAAUGUAAAUAGAACAUUCAUGGGCAUUGCUAACUGCCACUAACUUUGGGGUAGCUAGGCCUACACACGUUGUAAAUUAAAUAUCUUUAAUCAUAAGUCACUGGUAUUUUGAAUUUGACGACAUAGCUUUGUGAAGAAUCGUACAUAAGCAACUGGAGGAGUUCAGGGCCACAAAAUCUGAUGCAUGAUUCGGGUUCAGUGAUCCUGAAAAUCUUCCAGACGCCAUCGUGCUAGGGUGGCUUUCCAGGGACGUUUUAGCCCCCCCUUAGUAGGGGACUACGCCAUAUAGAUAAGGACAUCCCCUGGAUCCUCCUGAGUCUGUCUGCCAAGUCUGAUCUUGAUAGAUCCAAAACUGUGGGAGGAGUUCUCGGACGAAAAAAGAAGAAGAAGAAGAGACAGCUUCAGAAGCAGAUUGUGAAUUAAUAUCAUAUCAAUGAUGACGUUUUGAUCAUCAGCAAAACUUAGUUGUUUUUAAUUAAUGCACGAAAUUUCAUAACUUCAUGUUAACAGUUAUUGCCUUUACUAGUGUUCAAGAAAUUUUAAAAGAAAUGUAUAUACAAGGCCCUGGUGCUUUUUGUUUUGCUUUUUUAAAAUAAAGAAAUACAGAAUUAAACUGGUUUUAUCCCACACUGCUCUAUUUCGUUUAUUCAAUUAUGGUCCUCCGGGCUUGCUCUAGUAGUUACAAUGCCGGACUAUGAAUAUGUGGUUCCAGGGUUGACGUCCUGUAAAACGCGCGUUAUAAGAGUGAUACUCAAAUCCCACUAUUCGAUCAGAAUAGACCAAUAGUACUGUCGAGUAGCUUGUCUUCCUUCUAGUUCGUCAGUUCAGUAAUGGGAAUGGCUAGGACAAAUAACCCUCGUGUAGCUUUGCGCAAAAAAUAUCCAAAAAACAAACAAAAAUCUUAAAGUUAUGACGCAAGAUAAGGUAGUUGAACGGGAAAAACCAUUCGAAAUGUUGUUAAUUUUUUAAUGGCUCCAACAAAAACGUUUUCUAAAUGUUUAUGUAACAAUGAAAAAAUUCCUAUUCCCAUAGUUUCAUUCGCGGCUUAACGUAAUACGAAUCAUGUGAAAUAUCUGUCACUUCGAAACGAUUUCCUACAACUUAGCGCAAAAAAAAGAGCAAAGAGCGUUUCACAUCUUUCUCGUGAUUUAUUUUGCCAGCCAUUAAAAAGUAAAGUAUAAAAAACAAAAAACAUGAGAGUAGGCUCAACAAUGACCAGAAACCGAGAUCCCAUAAUAAUAAAAAAGACAUGAUUUAAAGAACGAUUGGUGACAAACUGAAAAUUUUUAAAACAAGCGUUAUUAUGACUUUGCUAGUUUACAUGUGCGUUUCCAUGAGAAUAUUAUUAAAAAUGUAUGUACGUAUAAUUGUGAAGAACCACUGAGUAUAAUCUGUUGUAACAUCAAUGUUGUCUGACAGCAAAAUUUUGCGAAGAAGAAGAGAUUAUUUUAUUUAAAAACAUCACGAGGAUGCAUAGAAAUAAUUGCUUUUCAAAUAUUUUGUAAUAUGAAAUAAUAUUUUUAUUUUUCCGGCUAUUGCUUUCACUUGUGCAUUUGAGCAAACAUGAAACGCAUGAUUUCAUUUUCAAGGUAUUCCUGUAGAUAUAUAUUUUGCUUUUUGUAUUUAAUUCAUUCUUACACUGGUUUGUAUGUAAAUGUCUUCGGAGAAUCUCAUGGCGUAAAAUAAAAAUAUAUAUAUAUAUAA
rnacentral:lncRNA from 1 species